UACAGAGGGUGCGAGCGUUGUCCGGAAUCACUGGGCGUAAAGGGCGCGUAGGCGGUGACUUAAGCGUGUGGUGAAAGCUCGGGGCUCAACCCCCGAGUCGGCCGUGCGAACUGGGUCACUGGAGCAGAUCAGAGGCGGGCGGAAUUCCGGGUGUAGCGGUGGAAUGCGUAGAGAUCCGGGAAGAACACCCGGUGGCGAAGGCGGCCCCGCUGGGGACUGGCUGACGCUGAGGCGCGACGCGUGGGGG
rnacentral:rRNA from 1 species